UGCCAUCUGGCUAAGCCUCCUUGCCGGACCC
rnacentral:piRNA from 1 species